GAAAAUCCAACGGGUUGUGGUUGUGUUUGGGUGUGGCGGUGGUCACCCUCGUAAGUAACGAUGAGCGUGUUGGGGUCGUCUUGUGCUCUCUCCACGUGCUUCCUGGCUGGACACCCUCUCACGCUACUGCACCUGUAGUAACUACUGCCACCAUCCAACAUUAAAACUAAAUUAACAUCCACACCUUUUAAAAUAAUCAUAAUUCAUUUUCCUAAUUAACAGAAUAAAAUAAUACCGAGGGUAGGGUGAUCCCUUGAUAGGUUUUUGACCGUAUUUCCUCCACGAGUAUUCGUCGGUUGGGAUAUCUGCAAUCCUUGAGCUUAUUGCCGCCAUUCGAACCACUCGUUUCACACGGGUUUUCCUGUAAAAUGAUAUAAUUUUAUUAUCCAAUUUAAUUUUAUUAUUUAAAUUUAGAACACUUCUUAGUCGAAGAAAACAAGUCAUUAAUUAAUUACCUUCUCUUGGAGCAAUGACACUGGGAGGAGGAGGAUGUGGCUUUUCCCGAGGAAAGGGUGGCGUCGUGACACCUUUUACGGUGAGAUGAGGAGAGAGGAGGCUUCCCAGCGGCGAUGAUGAAAGGACCUAUCUUACCGUCGGAGACGCUGCCAUCUCCGGUGAUGGUGGACAUGAAGGAGGAGGUGGUGGUGGACAUGGGAGGAGAAAG